rnacentral:rRNA from 1 species
UACGUAGGGGGCAAGCGUUGUCCGGAUUUAUUGGGCGUAAAGAGCGUGUAGGCGGCCAGACAGGUCAGCUGUGAAAACUCGAGGCUCAACCUCGAGACGUCGGUUGAAACCGUCUGGCUAGAGUCCGGAAGAGGAGAGUGGAAUUCCCGGUGUAGCGGUGGAAUGCGCAGAUAUCAGGAGGAACACCAAUGGCGAAGGCAGCUCGCUGGGACGGUACUGACGCUGAGGCGCGAAAGCGUGGGGAGCGAACAGG